AGGUUCGCUACUCUAUGCGAUUAAAAAGGGAAACCAGCGAGAGUCUGGUACUGUCCCGCAGCUGUGAGUUGCAUUCUUACGCCAAACGACACUGCCAAAAGGCAAGAAAGGGUUAUGAACUGGCACUUUUCAUUCGUAACAUCUUUCAAGCCAGACCGACGGGAAGUCGCUUCGCCUUUAAGCCAGCAACAAGUCAGAAGACCUGCCAUUGC
rnacentral:ncRNA from 1 species